GUUGCCAGCAGGUUAAGCUGGGCACUCUAGUGAGACUGCCGGGGACAACUCGGAGGAAGUGGGGAUGACGUCAAAUCGAUCAUGCCCCUUAUGUUCUGGGCUACACACGUGCUACAAUGGCCGGUACAGAGAGACGCAAUGUCGCGAGGCGGAGCAAAACUCUAAAACCGGUCCCAGUUCGGAUUGCAGGCUGAAACUCGCCUGCAUGAAGUCGGAGUUGCUAGUAAUCGCGAAUCAGAAUGUCGCGGUGAAUGCGUUCCCGGGUCUU
rnacentral:rRNA from 1 species